AGAGUUUGAUCAUGGCUCAGGAUGAACGUUGGCGGUGUGCUAAUACAUGCAAGUCGAACGGUGGUUAUUUGUAGUAAUACGAAGUGAUCAUAGUGGCGAACGGGUGAGUAACGCGUUGGUGAUCUGCCUCGAAGUGUGGAAUAACGUUCCGAAAGGAACGCUAAUACCGCAUGUGCUCUCGAUUUUUAGAAAGUUGAGAGUAAAGGAUUUAUUCGCUUCGAGAGGAGCCUGCGUCCCAUCAGCUAGUUGGUAGGGUAAUAGCCUACCAAGGCUUUGACGGGUAGGGGACCUGAGAGGGUGGCCCCCCACAAUGGAACUGAAACACGGUCCAUACACCUACGGGUGGCAGCAGUAGGGAAUAUUAGAAAUGGACGAAAGUCUGAUCUAGCGACACCGCGUGUGCGAUGAAGGCCUUCGGGUUGUAAAGCACUUUUUGGAAGGAGUAGGAAGGAAGGUACUUCCAGAAUAAGUCUCGGCUAACUACGUGCCAGCAGCCGCGGUAACACGUAGGAGGCAAACGUUAUCCGGAUUUACUGGGCGUAAAGCGCGUGUAGGUGGUUCUGUAAGUAGGGCGUGAAAGCUCCCGGCUCAACUGGGAGAGGCCGUUCUAAACUGCAGAGCUAGAGGAUGGUAGAGGGAGGUGGAAUUCCAGGUGUAGCGGUGGAAUGCGCAGAUAUCUGGAGGAACACCAGUGGCAAAAGCGGCCUCCUGGACCAUUCCUGACACUCAGACGCGAAAGCUAGGGUAGCAAACGGGAUUAGAGACCCCGGUAGUCCUAGCCCUAAACGAUGUAGACUAGACGUCGGCGGUGUAAUAGCUGUCGGUGUCCAAGCUAACGCGAUAAGUCUACCGCCUGGGGACUACGGCCGCAAGGUUAAAACUCAAAGGAAUUGACGG
rnacentral:rRNA from 1 species